GAUUUUUAAAACAUUCCUGAGAAAAUUCUGGGAGUUGCAUAUGGGCCAGUCUUAUUCUCUAAAGUUGUUCCUUCUAAAGGGUGGGAUGACUGAAAGUUUCAGAAAAGCAAACCACUGCUGAAAGGCAACGUUAUUUCUGUUGGCAGAAGGUGGCUUGAGCAAUCUAGAUUUUCCACGGCAUAUGCAUAUAGAGGAAUAAAAGGCAUGGCUGUUUAUAAUUUAUAUCAGAUUUAGAAGCAAGUGCAAAAAUCUGACUUAAAGAUGAGAAAGAUGAGGUAGGGAUAAACAGGUGCUUCUCUGGAAAGAAAUGGGAAUGUUUUCCCUCAGGGAUAAAUGCCAAACCUUGCGUAGUUGAAGCUCCCCUGAGUGUGUGGCAGAAAACAUGGAAGUGAGGUGGCUCCAAGCUUCCUGAGAAGUGGAAAUAAUUUGGUCCCCACUCAGAGGAAGUUGGAACCCAUGGCAAAGAAGUUAAAAACCUUGAAAAAAGAUUAGAUGAAUGUAGAAUAAUCAAUGCAGAGAAGUCCUUAAAGGACCUGAUGGAGCUGAAAACCAAGGCACAAGAACUACGUGAUGAACGCACAAGCCUCAGUAGCUGAUUCAAUCAACUGGAAGAAAGGGUAUCAGUAAUGGAAGAUCAAAUGAAUGAAAUGAAGCGAGAAGAGAAGUUUAGAGAAUUACUGUUAGAAAGAAAACUAACAAACAGAAAGGACAUCCACACCAAAACCCCAUCUGUACGUCACCAUCAUCAAAGACCAAAGGUAGAUAAAACCACAAAGAAGGGGGAAAAACAGAGCAGAAAAACCAGAAACUCUAAAAAUCAGAGCACCUCUCCUCCUCCAAAGGAACGUAGCUCCUCACCAGCAAUGGAACAAAGCUGGACAGAGAAUGACUUUGACAAGUUGAGAGAAGGCUUCAGACAGUCCAACUAUUCCGAGCUAAAGGAGGAAGUUGGAACCCAUGGCAAAGAAGUUAAAAACCUUGAAAAAAGAUUAGAUGAAUGNNNNNNNNNNNNNNNNNNNNNNNNNNNNNNNNNNNNNNNNNNNNNNNNNNNNNNNNNNGCCAAUAUUCAACAUUCUUAAAGAAAAGAAUUUUCAACCCAGAAUUUCAUAUCCAGCCAAACUAAGCUUCAUAAGUGAACGAGAAAUAAAAUACUUUACAGACAAGCAAAUGUUGAGUGAUUUUGUCACCACCAGGCCUGCCCUGAAAGAGCUCCUGAAGGAAGCACUAAACAUGGAAAGGAACAACCGGUACCAGCCACUGCAAAACCAUGCCAAAUUGUAAAGACCAUCAAGGCUAGGAAGAAACUGCAUCAACUAAUGAGCAAAAUAACCAGCUAACAUCAUAAUGACAGGAUCAAAUUCACACAUAACGAUAUUAACCUUAAAUGUAAAUGGGCUAAAUGCCCCAAUUUAAAAGACACAGACUGGCAAAUUGGAUAAAGAGUCAAGACCCAUCAGUGUGCUGUAUUCAGAAAACCCAUCUCAUGUGCAGAGACACACAUAGGCUCAAAAUAAAAGGAUGGAGGAAGAUCUACCAAGCAAAUGGAAAACAAAAAAAGGCAGGUGUUGCAAUUAUAGUCUCUGAUAAAACAGACUUUAAACCAAAAAAGAUCAAAAGAGACAAACAAGGCCAUUACCUAAUGGUAAAGGGAUCAAUUCAACAAGAAGAGCUAACUAUCCUAAAUAUAUAUGCACCCAAUACAGGAGCACCCAGAUUCAUAAAGCAAGUCCUUAGAGAACUACAAAGAGACUUAGACUCCCACACAUUAAUAAUGGGGCUUUAACACCCCACUGUCAACAUUAGACAAAUCAACGAGAUAGAAAGUUAAUGAGGAUAUCCAGAAAUUGAACUCAGCUCUGCACCAAGUGGACCUAGUAGACAUCUACAGAACUGUCCACCCCAAAUCAACAGAAUAUACAUUCUUUUCAGCACCACACCACACCUGUUCCAAAAUUGACCACAUAGUUGGAAGUAAAGCAUUCCUCAGCAAAUAUAAAAGAACAGAAACUAUAGUAAACUGUCUCUCAGGCCACAGUGCAAUCAAACUAGAACCCAGGAUUAAGAAACUCACUCAAAACCGCUCAACUACAUGGAAGCUGAACAACCUACUCCUGAAUGACUACUGGGUACAUAAUGAAAUGAAGGCAGAAAUAAAGAUGUUCUUUGAAACCAAGAGAACAAAGACACAACAUACCAGAAUCUCUGAGA
rnacentral:lncRNA from 1 species